rnacentral:rRNA from 1 species
AGAGUUUGAUCAUGGCUCAGGACGAACGCUGGCGGCACGCUUAACACAUGCAAGUCGAACGAGAGAAGAGGAGCUUGCUUUUCUGAUCUAGUGGCGGACGGGCGAGUAACACGUGAGCAAUCUGCCUUUCAGAGGGGGAUACCGAUUGGAAACGAUCGUUAAUACCGCAUAACAUAAUUGAACCGCAUGAUUUGAUUAUCAAAGAUUUAUCGCUGAAAGAUGAGCUCGCGUCUGAUUAGCUAGUUGGUAAGGUAACGGCUUACCAAGGCGACGAUCAGUAGCCGGACUGAGAGGUUGAUCGGCCACAUUGGGACUGAGACACGGCCCAGACUCCUACGGGAGGCAGCAGUGGGGAAUAUUGCACAAUGGAGGAAACUCUGAUGCAGCGAUGCCGCGUGAGGGAAGAAGGUUUUAGGAUUGUAAACCUCUGUCUUCAGGGACGAAAAAAGACGGUACCUGAGGAGGAAGCUCCGGCUAACUACGUGCCAGCAGCCGCGGUAAUACGUAGGGAGCGAGCGUUGUCCGGAAUUACUGGGUGUAAAGGGAGCGUAGGCGGGAUCGCAAGUCAGAUGUGAAAACUAUGGGCUUAACCCAUAAACUGCAUUUGAAACUGUGGUUCUUGAGUGAAGUAGAGGUAAGCGGAAUUCCUAGUGUAGCGGUGAAAUGCGUAGAUAUUAGGAGGAACAUCAGUGGCGAAGGCGGCUUACUGGGCUUUAACUGACGCUGAGGCUCGAAAGCGUGGGGAGCAAACAGGAUUAGAUACCCUGGUAGUCCACGCCGUAAACGAUGAUUACUAGGUGUGGGGGGACUGACCCCUUCCGUCCGCAGCAAACGCAAUAAGUAAUCCACCUGGGGAGUACGACCGCAAGGUUGAAACUCAAAGGAAUUGACGGGGGCCCGCACAAGCAGUGGAGUAUGUGGAUUAAUUCGAAGCAACGCGGAGAACCUUACCAGGUCUUGACAUCGUAUGCAUAGCUCAGAGAUGAGUGAAAUCUCUUCGGAGACAUAUAGACAGGUGGUGCAUGGUUGUCGUCAGCUCGUGUCGUGAGAUGUUGGGUUAAGUCCCGCAACGAGCGCAACCCUUACUGUUAGUUGCUACGCAAGAGCACUCUAGCAGGACUGCCGUUGACAAAACGGAGGAAGGUGGGGAUGACGUCAAAUCAUCAUGCCCCUUAUGACCUGGGCCUCACACGUACUACAAUGGCUGUCAACAGAGGAAAGCAAAGCCGCGAGGUGGAGCGAACCCCUAAAAGCAGUCUUAGUUCGGAUUGUAGGCUGCAACCCGCCUACAUGAAGUCGGAAUUGCUAGUAAUCGCAGAUCAGCAUGCUGCGGUGAAUACGUUCCCGGGCCUUGUACACACCGCCCGUCACGCCAUGGGAGUCGGUAACACCCGAAGCCUGUAGUCUAACCGCAAGGAGGACGCAGUCGAAGGUGGGAUUGAUGACUGGGGUGAAGUCGUAACAAGGUA